rnacentral:rRNA from 1 species
UGGGGAAUAUUGGACAAUGGGCGAAAGCCUGAUCCAGCAACGCCGCGUGAGGGAUGACGGCCUUCGGGUUGUAAACCUCUUUCGCUAGGGACGAAGCCGUGAGGUGACGGUACCUGGAUAAGAAGCACCGGCUAACUACGUGCCAGCAGCCGCGGUAAUACGUAGGGUGCGAGCGUUGUCCGGAAUUAUUGGGCGUAAAGAGCUCGUAGGCGGUCUGUCGCGUCUGGUGUGAAAAUCCAGGGCUUAACCCUGGACCUGCAUCGGGUACGGGCAGACUAGAGUGCGGUAGGGGAGAUCGGAAUUCCUGGUGUAGCGGUGAAAUGCGCAGAUAUCAGGAGGAACACCGGUGGCGAAGGCGGAUCUCUGGGCCGUAACUGACGCUGAGGAGCGAAAGCAUGGGGAGCGAACAGGAUUAGAUACCC